GCGCUGGACUGGCGUUGGACAGGUGUUGGACUGGCGUUGGACUAACUGGCAUUGGACUGGCGUUGGACUGGCAUUGGUUGGAGCGUGCGUGCAGCGUGGCGGUCUCUGUUCCCAGAUCAGCUAUGAUGGUGCUACAGAUGACAGACGUUUGAGACAACAACGAAUGGCUUCCACAGGGAGCGCCCUCCGCAUCCCGGGGGACGACAACCUGCAGUCCAUGCUGGUGGGGACAAUCAUGAGGAAAAUAAAGUCUCGAACCUGGAAGAAGCAGCGCUACUUCAAACUGCAGGACGACUGCAUGACCAUCUGGUACAAGUCCAAGAAGGCUGGGAACUCCCACUCUACAU